UAUCAUCACUUAUAUAAUUCUGCAUUGGAUCACUAACUAUAUAUCCUACUAUAUUAUUUGGGAAGUACAUUUUAAAUGUAACAU
rnacentral:sRNA from 1 species